rnacentral:rRNA from 1 species
UACAGAGGGGGCAAGCGUUAUUCGGAAUUAUUGGGCGUAAAGGGCGCGUAGGCGGCUUGGCAAGUGGAAGGUGAAAUCCCUCGGCUUAACCGAGGAACUGCCCUCCAAACUGCUUUGCUUGAGGCCGGGAGAGGUGAGUGGAAUUCCCAGUGUAGCGGUGAAAUGCGUAGAUAUUGGGAGGAACACCAGUGGCGAAGGCGGCUCACUGGACCGGUUCUGACGCUGAUGCGCGAAAGCGUGGGUAGCAAACAGG